rnacentral:lncRNA from 1 species
CCCGCCUUGAAUCUGGACUGUAGCUGGAUUGAUGCUUUAUGACGUUCAAGGCUAGAUUAUAAGAAUCUUGCUGCUUCUACUUGGGACUCUUGGAAUGCUCACUCUUGGGACAUUCCCUCCUAGGACCCAGCUGCAAUCUUCAGGAAUCAGGGAUCUUGUGUAGGUGAGAUCAGGUGGACAGGUUGAUAGUGUGCAGUGAACUCCCAGCCAACAGAUAACAUCAACUGCCAGCCAUUCACUGCCAGCCAAGUGAAUAGGCCAUUUUGGAUGGCCAGGCCUGUCCAAACUUCUGAUGACUCCAGCCCCAGCUGUUGUCUGACUGCAAUUGUAUGAAAGACCCCAAGCAAGAACUGCCCAGCUGAGCUUAGUCAGCCCAUAGAACCGUGAGAGGCUGCUCUUGUGACUUGAUUUGACAAAUGGAAUCUGGCAGAAGUGACAUUGGAUGUCUUCUGAGGCCAGGCUUAUAGAGGCUAGGGAGCUUCUGCUUUUGGUCUCUUGUAACCCUAAGACUCCCAUGCUGUGAACAAUUAUGCUCACGAAGAAAGACUUCUGCAGAGAAAGGCCCAGGUAAGCUCAGUCUUAGUCAACUGCCAGUGGACUGUACCCAGGCAAGUCCAGAAGAGAAUUCCUCAGCCAACCUAUAGAAUCAUGACAAAUAAUAAAUUGCGGUUGUUUAAAACCAUGAAGUUU